rnacentral:lncRNA from 1 species
CAAACAGUUGGCUUGUAGAGUAGCUGUUAGUCUCAGAUGGCAGACAGAGGAGCUGGCCAGACAGACGGGAGGAGCACAGAGCAAGCAUGAGAUGUCUGGAGUCAGCCAGAAAUGAGGCUCCCACCACUGCAGAUGCUGCUUAUGGGUCACAGUCAUGCAACACGUGUGAAUGAUAAACUUCAGAGCAAUGUGUCAUUAGAGCAACUUACAGAACAGCUUGCAGGAGUCCAGAGCUGCUGGCUGGCCUAUUGAGCAGACAUGAGUACUUUUGCUGAAGACGGUUCAUCGUCUUAAAUUUGGUAAACUGUAGAGUGAAAGACCCUUGCUACCACUUAUUCCAGAAAAC